UAUUGGUCAAUGGGCGCGAGCCUGAACCAGCCAAGUAGUGCGAAGGAUGACGGCCCUACGGGCUGUAAACUUCUUUUAUAUGGGAAUAAAGUGCAGUAUGUAUACUGCUUUGCAUGUACCUUAUGAAUAAGGAUCGGCCAACUCUGUGCCAGCAGCCGCGGUAAUACGGAGGAUCCGAGCGUUAUCCGGAUUUAUUGGGUUUAAAGGGAGCGUAGGCGGGUUGUUAAGUCAGUUGUGAAAGUUUGCGGCUCAACCGUAAAAUUGCAGUUGAUACUGGCAUCCUUGAGUACAGUAGAGGUAGGCGGAAUUCGUGGUGUAGCGGUGAAAUGCUUAGAUAUCACGAAGAACUCCGGUUGCGAAGGCAGCCUGCUGGACUGUAACUGACGCUGAUGCUCGAAAGUGUGGGUAUCAAAC
rnacentral:rRNA from 1 species